rnacentral:rRNA from 1 species
UACAACUUUCAGCGGUGGAUGUCUAGGUUCCCACAACGAUGAAGAACGCAGCGAARUGCGAUACGYAAUGCRAAUUGCAAGACCUCGUGUAUMAUKAAAAUUUUGAACGCACAUUGCGCUUUCGGGAUUUUCCCGGGAGCAUACUUGUCUGAGU